CUCCUUGCUCAGACCCCUGGGCUGGCAGCAGCAACAUUGCCCUUUAUAAAGCCCCCUACCAGCUAGAAAAGGUGAGGUGCUUAUCAACCCUUACGAAGGAGCAGAGGGUGAGAGUGAGGACGUCGGGCAUCACCACCCAGAGAGACAAACCAAUUCAUGCUUGGGACUAUUUGGAGGUCAGCGUCGGCCUUGAGGCAGAGGAACCUGGGGCUCCAGCAAACCAGCUCACAAUCUGCUUCGCGCUUGAUUUAAAGGCGCUGACAAGCUGCUGCCCGCUCCCCAGCACGGUGGCGAGACUGGAUUGGGACUGUCAUAUAUAAUGCAUGGAGUCAGGGCCGCGAGCCGGGUUGUACGCGUGUGUGAUCCGCUCUGGAGCGCUGUUCCCAGAGCCAUUGUGCAAACAUAUUUACUCUGCAUAAAAGAAUGGGAUGAAGCUGCAAAGGACAUUUGUUCAUCGAAGUGGAUUUAAUUUUUAAACUCGCAUUAGGACAGGAUCAACCUUGCUGAAGGAGGAGCGCUCUCUCAGAGGCAGAGAGAGCCCAGCCAGCCAUGGUCACCAUUAAGUCACCUCCAUCAUACUCUGUGAGUUAGGGGGGCAAGUGAGGAUGUGAUCCACCAAUCCCCAACGAAGAAUCCUAGGGAAGAAUCUGAUUGGCUAGUCACCUGCCAGUCAUCACAGCCGAGGGAAAGGAGGGGUGGAGCAGCGACUCCACCAACUACAAAAGGUGAGGUGCUUAUCAACCUUUAUGAGGGAACAAUGGGUGAAGACAAUGACCAGGGUGCAGGCAGGCUGACCAUCCCAUCGGUUUGCCUGGAACUGUCCUAGUAUUAGCAAUGACAGUCCCAUGUCCCCAGGGCAAACCAGGGUGGUUGGUCACUGAAGUUCAAGUCCCUCUAGACAUUUCCAAACCUAAUUAACAAGUUGGGGAAGCGAGCUGUAACCCGUUUCUCUAGCUCUUUAUUUGUGUGAUUUGGCCAGAAAUUGCUUCAAGAGGAGACGUUCAAAAAGGAACAAAAAAUCAGAACUGAAACAAUGUCGGAGGGCACUUUGGGGUUUCUUCAGCAAAAUGCAAAUCCCUCCAUUAUCUUGUGGUUUAAACCAAAGCUGCCUUUUGGAAACUCCCGCUGAUUCUCCAGCCUCAUGGAGGGUGGCAGGUUCCUCUUUUAAGUGUUCCAGGCUAGGAGUUGCGUGGUUAACGCUGGGGUAAUACACACUCUGUAUUUGCUACCACAGCCCCCCACCCCUAGAAGUCUCCCAAGAGGAAAUCGGUGGUGUGGUCAUGCACAGCUCCUGUGCUCCUGAUGGAGACUGUUGUGGAUCCAGGGCCAUCUAGACAUCUAGGUAUUUUCAGCUUUCUUCCCUUAGGACAAGAGGACCAAGGCCUGAGCAGCCCUGAAUCGCUCCCAUGAUGGCCCAAACAGGCACGGAGGAGGGUGAUUGGUCCCUGAGAAUGUGGAUGCCUGGAGCAGUUCACGGUACUGUCUCUGCCUCGUUCUGAGCCUGCACUGGGGCCUUGGGUCCCUGCAGAGCUGGUGGCCCACAGCUGGUAGCACUGUCCAGGUGCAGGUUUCAAUCAUCUUCCAGGUAAAGGACGUGCACGUGGCCUAACAAUAGAAGCCGACCUUCAGUAAGAGCCACCUGGGAUGGGGCAGGUCACCGGACCACCUUUCUUCACCUGUGUCCCAUCUGCGGUGGGGAGGGGGGACUUCAUUCUGCAUUUUACAUUUGAGGUAACUGAGGCAACCUGGAGGAGGUCACAGAGCUAACCAUUAGUGGGAGAGCAUCAGGCACAUGAGGACCUGCAGCUUUGCAGGAGGAAGAUCCUGAUGCCCCCAAGCAUCCUCACAGGCGCUCUCGGCUGGAGGUUCAUCUUUCAAAUCAGCCCUGCCUCCUCCAGUCAGCUCUGUCUGGUUUAGCUCAGCUAACAGGAUGCGUCAGCUUACCUGAAUAAAACACUUUACACCCCCACGUAAGGACCAAUAAGCUUAACCUUUAGGGACAGGUUUGGUUUUUGUUUUGCCUCUUCCUGUCACAGGCUUCAGCUGCCACAUGGAUGAGGAAGUCAGGGAGGUAACUGACCAGACCAGCACACCUUCUCCCUGCCCCUGGCUGGCUAGCUGGGACCUUUCCCCCUCUGCCUCUCCAAACCUGAGGCUGAAAGGGGCCUAUGGGGGUGUUCGGGAAUCUGGGAGGUUGCCAAGCCCCAUCCACCAAGGUGGGCCGGUUCUGUCCCUAAGUUGGAGCUCAGGACUGGCUUCAGCCAAGGCAGUGCCCAGAGCCUUUGAGAGACCCCAGGCUGGGGUCGGUGGGGUGGGCCUGGCUCUCUGGGGAAGGCUGCCAUCAGGGAGCGUGGGCUGCCGCACACUCUCCUCCCGGUGUUGACAGUGACGGAUGUGGUCAGGGCAGGACCCAGACAGGGAAGAGCUGAGGUUCCUGGUGGGUCAGUUUGGCUCUUCCCUGCUCUGCUCUGUGGCUGCAAAUACAAACCUGGGGCCCAGCAGGGACAGGCAUCCCCACCUGUCAAAGGCCUACGGACCCAGGGAGGGGGACGCCGUUCCUCACGGCCCUGGUGUCAGAAGCAUGACCGGCCUGCUUUGUCAAGAGGCGGAGGAGGGCGGGAUGCCUGCUGGGCAUGUGGACUCUCAGCUUCCAAGCAGGUCCUGUUGCCCUCCUGCCCUCCAGGUGACAAAGCUGAGGCACUGUUGGGAGUAGCAGUCUGCCCGUCAUCCCUGGCAGUGGGUCAACAUGCAGCCUGGCUCUGGGACCUGGAAUUGGACCUGGGUUAUGCAGCUGGCCUGUGCAGGUGCCAGCCUCGCCUCUCUGGGCCUCCAUCUCCUGAGCCACACAAUGAGGACGAGGCCGGCUCUGCACUGAGAGCAAGGCCGACGGCAGAGGCCAUGUGCCGCAGACCUGGACUCAUCCCCUCACUAUGCAGGCAGGCCCCAGCCCCUAGAAGCUCCUGGAACUUGGAACUCUGGGCAGAAGCCCUCAGAACAGAGCAGCCCAGUUCUGCCUCUUCCAGCUUCCCCAGGAGCCUGCUGCCUCGUCUGCAGUGGCAGGGAAGACCAUGACGCCCCCCACACCCACAUCCAGGCUGCCUUGCAAUCCACACACCUGUCCAUUUCACCUCCAUCCACGUCCCUCUCCCCUGCGGCCACCACGCAGGCCCAGCCACCCCCACCCCUCUGCUGCUGCAGCCUGGAAGGUCGCUGCAUGCUUCUCUAUCCCGGGCAGUCCCGCACCGCUUGGGGAAGCUGGAAGAGUCCAGGUCUGCUGGCACCAGCCGUGAGAUGGAGCAUAAGGGGCAUGUGGCACCCCUGAGCACAGACCCUCCUGGGCUGUCCUGUUACAGAGAGGGGCAGAUCACCCUCCUCACAGCCUCCAGGCCCUCUGGGUCCAGCCGCGUUCCCUGCCCGACUCAUUGUGUGAGUGCCAGGCACGUCCCCCUCCUGGGCACUCACCCUGCCACCCCCAGGCCUCCUAGGGCCAGAGUCUCUGCCCUGGACACGUGUAUUUUCCUACUAACUGCCACUCAUCCUUCUGUCUUGUCUGCCCCGGACAGUCAUGCCUCUGCCAUCUCCCCCUGGCAGGGCACGCUGCACCUUCUGAAUCCCACCGUGGCCCUGGGAAAAUUUCACUUGUCUCUCGGCACACCAAGGCCAGGCAUUCAGGGAUUGCAUCACUUUCCUGAGCUAUGUACCUGCAGCAUCUGGCUCGGGGCUGGGUGUGUCACUGACCCACAACCACUGCUGAAUGAAUGAUGAGUGGAUGAGUGAGUGAUGAGCGGAUGAGUGAGUGAUGAGCGGAUAAGUGAAUGAGCACAGGUGGGUCUCAGGAGGUCCUUCCAGCCCUAGAACUGACUCGGGGGCCUUGGUUAAUGCCAGUGGGUGAUUUUCUGACUCUAAAGGCAGAUGUGGGGAGUGGAGACUCAGCCCUGAAUGCAUGCAGUGACCCAGCACUGAGAGAGGACGGUGGCUCUGGCGGGGUGGCCGCCUGCGAGAUGCUCCCCGGGGCCUGCUGCGGAGAUGAGUAAACAUCAGAGUUUUGUGAUGAGGGCUCUGCCAGGGGAAGCCCACGGUAUCACGGAGAGAAGACAAGGGCAUCCACCACAGGAGGAUGGACAGGGUGGGCAGGUGUGGGCUUCGUCAUCCAUCAUGGCCAGGGCUGGGAGUCCUCAGCGCUUCCAGCUCUGGAGACAGGCCCAGAACCCUGGAAAGAGGAGCUCCCAUCAGCCCACAGGGGGCUGGGCCGGCCAUCCAAGGCAGACAUCCAGGGUCCUUCUAUUUGAACCGAUGGGUAGAUGCUCAGCUGCUCCGGGGGCUGGUCCAGGCUCCAUCCCAGUCCUGGCUGUCCAUGCAGAACAUGGUACCCAGGCCCCAGGACUAGCAGAUAAUCCUUCAAGAGGGUCCAGAAACGGUGUGCCGAGCACAGUUCUCCAUGAGUCAGAGGCCUCUGGACAUGAGCCUAAGGGGCCCACAUUGAAAUAGGACUCUCUAAUCACAGCUGGGCACCAAUCAGGCACCGGCUUCCAUGGCUGAGGCCUGCUGGCUUCUCUCUCUCAGUGAACCGUGCUCCCGUCAGCCUCCGCGCGACAUCCCGCAAGGCUGCAGCCACCUCUCGCUCUGCAUCCAGGAGCAGGAGUGUCCGGGGUGGAGGCUCUGCUGCCCCAUAGGCUGUGGGGCUGUCUGUGCCAGGAGGAAGGACCCCUACCCGCACCUGCUGUGUGCCUGCUCAGGGGUCGAGGCAGCUGCGCAGCUUACAAAGAGGACAGCACCCCCGUCUCAGGCUGCCAGGGCCUUCUGUGAUCUCCUGUCCUUGGGCUCCUCUGCUGGCACCCUCCUGCUCCUCCUGAGCCGUCCUCGUGCCCUUGCCAUCUUUCCUGGAAAGCCUUGCAUCCAUUCAGCACAGCUUCACAGCUUCACCCAGCCCGGGCCUCAUGUGCCCCAGAAACACAGCCUUGAACACAACAGCGGGUUCCCUCUCAGGAGCUUCCCCACCUCCCCCUGGGUCAAGGAGAGGGAGACCAGCAUUGGCGUGCACUGUGUCAGGUGGAGAUCAAUUGGAAGAAAAGCAAAGUGGGGUGGUGGUGGGCAGGGGACCGCAGGGGGUGCUAUCUCAGAGGUUUCUGCAGGGCCGUCUGUGCAGAAGCCCAUUGCUGUCGCUUGUAGCUCAUCGUCCUUGUGGCAGCCCCAUGCCAGUUCUGCAGGCCAAAGAACAAGGUUCAGAGAGGGUGAGCAGCUGGCAAGAGAGCACACAGCAGCUAGUGGCAGGAGCGGAGCCCAGUCUUCCCUCCAACCGAGCCCUUUCCUUCUCCUUAGCUUUGCCCACCGAAGCCCUUCCCAUCUCCUUGCCUAGAGAUGGUUAGGCGUGACGACUGUGUUCAGGAUGACCCUGGCCAGGUGCAAUAAUUACAAGCCUAGGAAAAAUGACAGAAAAUAAACAUUCCAAGAUAUUAGCAAGCUGGCGUGGCUUUCUCUUCUGCUUUACAUUAUUUUUUCCUUACUUUCCAAAUUUUAUGCGGUGAGAAUUUAUUACUUUCAUUACCAGGUGCAAAAAAUAGAAACAAACAAAAAACUCUGUCUGAUCUUUCAGACUAGUUCGAAUGUCUUCUUUUCUAGAACUGGGAUGACCAGGACAUUUGGGCGUGAAAGGGGCCCUACAAGCCUUAACAGAUACUAAAGAACGUCAGACAAGCAGAAUGAGGAUGGCCCCAGGCAAGGUGGACCCCACCCCAGCUGCAGGGAACAGCAAGGCUGCAGGUCAGUGUUGAGUGGCCCUUUACAAAGGACUGUGACCCAGGCUGGGGGCAGUGGCUCACGCUUGUCAUCCCAGCACUUUGGGAGGCUGGAUCGCCUGAGGUCAGGAGUUCGAGACCAGCCUGGCCAACACGGUGAAACCCUGUCUCUACUAAAAAUACAAAAAUUAGCCGGGUGUGGUGGUGCACACUUGUAAUCCCAGCUACUUGGGAGGCUGAGGCAGGAGACUAGCUUGAACCCAGGAGGCGGAGGUUGCAGUGAGCUGAGAUUGCGCCACUGCACUCCAGCCUGGGCAAGAGUGAAACUCUGUCUCAAAUAAUAAAAACAAACAAAGAAACAAAAGCAAACACACACAAAACAAAGGGCCGUGACCCACAUGGACCUGGGACAAGGCUUCGGCUAAGCAAGCCCAAUGUCCAGUGGCUAUGGCCUCAGGAAGGUCAGCAAGGCAAGUUCCCUAUCCCUAAGACCGGGUCUUGAGACAGAAGCAGACAGUAGGCUCAACUCUCUGGAGGGCCCUGGCCAGGGCAACACAGGUCCACGUCCAGGCAAGGUCAUGCUCCCUGCCCCGCUCUGCCCCUUGGAGCAGGCUGUCAGAGGGGCCAAGGACUCCUCUCAGCAGGCUCGGGAGGAAACAGGAUCUCGAGUUCUAUUUUUUAAAUCACAAAAUUAGGGCCAUUUCUGUCUCUCCCUGGUCUGUCCCCUCCGAACCUGGGAGGCCCCUCUCCAGCAGAGGCUGCUUCUGUUCUCUCUCAUUCCAUAAAAACACUCCCGAGCCUUUCUGUUGCUGCAAAGAGAGCUUUGAUUCUUUGCCGAGAAUCUGCACCGCGGGCUCCAAAUGGGAGCGUUUCUCCGGAGAGGAGCAGGAGGAGAAUCAUUUUGUCGACGGCAGGUAAUUAAGUUGCCACGCAGAGAGGGAGCAUGCGUUAUACGAUGAUUAAUCCCAGAGACGGCGAGGACAUUUUUCAUUUUCAAAUCUCUCCUUGGUUGUUAAUGAAUCAUCUCAGCUCCUGGGAGAGAAGUGCUGGUGCUCGCCCUAAGAGCAAGGGAAACUGAGUCGGCUGUGCCCACCGCCCCCGCCACACGGUGCAGAGUGGAAGCAGCCUCGGGAGGGCAAGUGCUGGGAGACCAUGGGCUUUCUCCCCGGGCAUCUCGUCCAUGUGGCUUCCUGUCUCCCCAGCCUCAUCUGGGCAGGAAUUCAGGAAUCAAUAAAAAUGUUAUUUUAAAUAAAAAGAAAGCCACCCUGCUCUGCUUGGCACAGGCUGCCAUUGACCGCCUUCUGCACCUGCUUUUGUUCUGUUUUUCUCAGGUACCUGCUCAUUUCCAGCUCCCAGCCUCCCUCAGAACACAGACUGCCUUGCCAUUUUCUUAGCGAGCGGUUUGCAGCAAAGUGCUAUUUUGCUCUCGAACGCCUUCCUUUCCAAUUGGGACAAACGGCUAUGAAUACGGCACACCCUGUUUUGCAUUCAAACUGUUGGGAAAGUUUUGCGGCUGUAAAUAUCAUGCUCUUGGUGCUCAAGACAGAAUUAUUAUUACUUUUUCCUUAGUUCUUGGAACCAGUGAUAAAUUAAACAUUUCUUUUGCCCCCCCUUGCAGCCGGCAGGCAAUGUGGAGCUGAUUGCUUUGCCUCUGUCCUGACCCAUGUGCCCCAUCGGGAGAGGAACAAGACGACAGUGACUUGCCAGGGGCACAGGCACAUGGAUGGGGAGCAGGUCUAAAUGGGGGAGGGGGCACGUGCAGGGGGGGCUUUCCUGAGAUAGGGCUUCUCUUUGGUGUUUUCCCUGCACAAUCUUCCAAUGAUGUAUAGAGUUUACCCUCAACGCUCAGAGGCUGACAUUUGACAUAGAGGGAAACUGAGGCACAAUGGAGGUCUCCAGAAGAUUCUGUCCCCACACACUGUUCUCUUUCCAUCGUCUGCUCUGGGUCAGAUCCUGGGAAGUGGUGUUUUUCCUCUGGGGCGGGCGCUGGGCGUGUGGAGGUGGGAAAGCCUCACUCCUGGGCUCUGCCAGGUGGAAACGGAGGGCGCUGUGCCUCUUGGACUAAAAGGGUGAGCCUGGCAGGUGCACUGGCCUGACUCGCGUUCCUGCUUCGAGGUCCUGAGCACCUCCUCGGAGUCUCAGUUUCCUCACCUGCAAAUGAUCUUGAAGAUGUUCAAAUGCCUUCUUCCCUCCCGAGGUCCUGAAAAUGGCUGGGGAGGUCCGGGGGGGAGGAUUACGUGAGGCACACGGGAUCCGCCGUGACUCAGGCCACAGGGUCCGCUGGGCACCCCGCCCAGACUGCCCCCCACCAAGAGCUGCCAUGCACAGGUGGGUGGUGGAGGCUCCAGCCCCGCUCAAGCCUGCAGGCACACUUUCUCAUCGACGGACCCCAACACAUCCCUGUGUGUGGGCAGGGCUGGCAGGGGAUUCACGCCCACCUGCCCCGCAGCACCCCGCCGUUCUGCCUCCACCCUGUCUGCCUCGCUCAAGUGCACGAUGGCCAGGUGGAUGGAUGACCCUCCCAACCUCACCUCCCAGGUUUCCCUGAGGGAACGCAGCCCCUACUGGAUCCUACUGGACCUGGGUUCUGAGAUGACCCUUCCACAUGAAGAAAGAGAGUCCAGGGCUGGUGGGGGCAUCGCAGCUUCCUGGGGCCCUGCAGGAGACGGAAGAAGCCAGGGUGCUCAUCACACAGGCCUCCAGCUUUCUCCAGGGGCUGGACCUGGGGACCAGCCUGGGGUAUGGGUUCCUUCCUCUCCCCAUCCCCAGCCUGCCAGCCCCUCCCGGAUGGAGGUGGGAGUAAGAUGCCCCCCCGCUGGAGAGCCUUUUUCUGUAGCUGUGCAGGGGUGGGAGUAGGGGAGACAGGGCUUUGUCUAAUAAGAGGAAUCCAUCAAGUUUGCUAAACCACUUUCCCUCUGGAGCCAUGCGGCUCCUCUCCAGGGAGCUUGGCCUGGCCAGGCCUGCAAGCGGUGCCUCCUCCCAGCCCCACCCUGCCUUUUGUCUUUGUCUCUGACAUCUGCGUUCCUUCUGAGUGUGCUUUGCUUCUUUCUGCUGCUCGAUGGCUAAUAGGAUUGAGCGGGAAGGCGCCAGGAGAGCCGGCAGCCCGGCCUGGGAGGGGCUCUCACUCUUCCUCUGCCAGAAGCCUUAUCGAGCGCAGGGUGUUUGACUUCAGAAACACAUCCCCACGGCUUUCCUUUCCGCCUUCCUUCUGGGACUGAUUUGUUUACUUCUUUCAGAGGUUCGCCGUCCCUCUUUCUGCAGGGGUUUGCUGGAUCACAGGUCCCCAGUGCCCCGGACAUAGUGUGUGAGGAAUGCGGGUAUGAGAGAUACUAACAUAGGCAAAGUCGGCUCAUCUCAUCCAACCUCACCACCCUGUGCAUUGCAACCCCACAGUGCAAUGUAAAGAUGGGGAAACAGGCCCAGAGACUCAAGAGAAAUGAAACGAGUGGAGAUUGAGACUGAACUGGACCGGGAUCCGGGCCCCACAGCUGGGCUUGUCCCGAGGCUGUGUGCUGCCCCCGGAGCUCCUUGGAUGGAGAAGCGCUCCCUGCCCCUCCCUGCUCCAUGCCUGGCUUAGACACACGGCGGCCCUGCUCAUGCCUGAAAUUCCACCCUUAGCCACCCUCCCCUGUUUGGCAUUGCCCUCGCACCCCCUCUCGAGGGACACAGAAACCCCGCGUGUGGGUGUCCUCACUGCAGGUCUCCCUACCUGGCAGGCGGGGAAUGUUUUGGGGCAGGUGGUGGGCAAUGGAGGAGAAACAGUAAGCAGGGAUUUCAGGAAGAAGAAAACGCCAGCAAGGUAAGCAGGUCAACAAAACCUCACCUGUGUCAGCUUGCACACCUUCUGUCACCAGAAAGCCUGACCUUAACCUUGCACUUGUCAGAUCUGAUCCUGGUCCUCAAAGAGCAUGGAGACCCUCUUUAUACAAAUGGGAAUACUGAGGUAUGCAGUUCGAGAGGAUUGACCGAGGCCAUUUGGCUGGUUGAAGGUGGGUAAAGUCCUGGGUUCCUAAUUUCUGCCAGGAGACCCUUGCUCCAUUCUCUUCCCAGGGCAGAACCACACUUGGUCCUGGGGAAAGCCACCUGGAGAGCGGAGGGCAGAGGGUGGAGGGCAGAGGGCGGAGGGCAGAGGGCAGAGGGCAAAGGGCAGAGGGCAGAGGGUGGCGCGGAGGGUGGGGAAGCACCCCUGUCACCUCUGCCCAUGCAGCCUACCCCGUCCCCAAUUCACGAGACAGUUAACUUGGUUCUUGCCCUGAGCCAGGCCCUGGCCCGGAGCCUGGGGCCACAGGUGCCCUCAAAUGCACAUGGGACUCAGGCUCAUCAGCAGUGGCCUCAUGGCAGGAGGGUGGUCACUGUGGGCUGGGGGAGGCUGUGAGGCUCCUCUGGCAGCUCCACCUGCGAAAGCCAAGUCGAAGAGUGAGUUGAGUGUGUGCUGGCCCAUCUGCCCCUUUCCCUCUCCGCUCAGGGCCCAGAGCCUCCCAAACAGGCAGCUGUGACUCUGAUGAAGCCACCUGGUGCUGGGGGUGUGGGGUGGGGUUGGGGACAGCAGGGGAAGCCCACUACUUGGUAGUCCCAAAUGUCACAGUCUGUGACCCAUGAAGGAUGGCUGGGCCACUCCUUGGGACAGGGUUACACCAGACACACACACAGAUGUAUUCACACCAGACACACACACACAGACACAUUCACACCAGACACACAGACACAUUAACACCAAAAACACACAGGUACAUUCACACCAGACACACACACACAGACACAUUCACACCAGACACACACAAAGACCAUUCACAGCAGACACACACACAAAGACACAUUCAGACCAGACACACACACAGACACAUUCACACCAAAAACACACAGGCACAUUCACACCACACACACACACAAAGACACAUUUACACCAGAUACACACAGACCAUUCACUUCAGACAGACACACACACAUUCACACCAGCCACACACAGACACAUUCAAACCAGACACAGAUACAUUCACAUCAGGCACACACACACAAAGACACAUUCACACCAGACACAGACACAAACCAUUCACACCAGACACAUACACAUUCACACCAGACACACACAAAGACCAUUCACACCAGACACACACACAUUCACACCAGACACACACAGACCAUUCACACCAGACAUACAGACUAUUCACACCAGACACACACACAUUCACACCAGACACACAGACACAUUCACACCAGACACACACAAAGAGACAUUUACACCAGAUACACACACACAGACCAUUCACUUUAGACAGAGACCAUUCACACCAGACACACACACAUUCACACCAGACACACACAGACCAUUCACACCAGACACACACACAUUCACACCAGUAACACACACAGACACAUUCACACCAGACACACACAAAGAUACAUUUACACCAGAUACACACACAGACCAUUCACUUCAGACAGACACAGAUACAUUCACCCCAGACACACACACAAAGACACAUUCACACAGACACAGGCAAAGACACAUUCACACCAGACACACACACAGACACAGGCACACCCCUGCACACAGCCACUGUGCUCAUGCAUAGCCGGGUACACCUGCUUGCACACUCACACUCGCUCACCCCCACACCCCCCCCCCCGCUUCCUCACCCACUUUCUCUCCUGGUCCUGCAGUGCUUGUUCCCACUAGGUCCCUGGGGGGCCAGGGAGAGCCAGCCAGGCCCGCCACCAUUCUCUCCCCGCAGAGCGAUGCUGCGUGUCCAGAGCAGCGGGUGUGGGAGGCAGAGCCUGGAGCUCCCAGAGCCGGCGGCCCACGGCCUCGCCUCCAGCCAGGAGGGUGCGGAAUUCUCCCCCACCCAGCAGAGGCUCUGGCCAUCUGUCUCCAAGGAUGCGGGGGAGCGGACCGGCUGUGCCGCUCUAGGGCUGCUCCGCCUGACAGACAGCAGUGUCGACCACCCAUGUUUGCUGCACAGACUCUAGCUUCCACACCCCUCCCCACCCCAGCAGCCUGGGGAAGGAAGGCUGGAGGUCCCUGCAUGACGGGUGAGGAGAGAGGACAGGAGCCCGGUGCUCUGAACACCGCCCCAGCCCAGCUGCACGUCAGGACCCCGCACUGGCCUCUUACAUUGAGAAGCCAAGACCCACCCAAAACCCAGCUAUCAAAGUCUCUGGGGACAGCACCAGCAGGGCAGAGGGCGUUGGUUCCCUUAGAAUGUGCUAGAAGGCUCAUCCCUGCAGGAGGUGCCCCUGCAGGCAUCCUUGCCCCCACACUGCCUGGUGCUGCCCACCUGCUCACUUGCAGGUGACCCUAGUUUCUCAGUGGCUCGGCAGCCUCGCGGGCUGUUGUAACACUGACACCACGUCUGUGAGAUCAUUGGCUUGGAAGAUUCAGCUCAGAAUUGGAUAGAAGGGCCCUGCCCUGCCAGGCACAGCUGCCGGCCCUUGUCACCUGCAGCUGCAUGAGAAACUAAGGCUCAAACCAAAUCCUUCUGGACAGAAAAGCAGGUCCCCCUCCACUACCCCUUCGUCUGGGCUCUCGGUCAGCGGGGUCAGGGUGGCCGGGACAGUCACUCUCAUUUCCAGAGGAGGCGAGAGGCAGAUGAAGGCCAUGGACAGCAAGCCAUGGGGCCACAGCACAGCCUCAGGUCGUUGCUGACACACCUGCGCCUCCCACAGCCCUCCCCAGGAAAGCCGCGGCAGAGCUCACCCCACUCCCAGGGUGCUCACCUGGGACCUCCUCACCUCUGCACCUGCCCUGGGUAUCCUCAGCCGUGACCCUGGCCUGGCAGUGCCGGCGGACAGGUUGCAACCAGCCCAGCUCCCCAGGGGUGAGAGGGGCCCAUCACCGGCCACCCACAGGCAUCCCUGGGUCUGCUUUUUGGAGCAGUGUCCGGGGUUCCCUUCAUAUCCUUUAUAUCUAUGUGAACCUGACCGGCACACUCACUCCAGGCCCAGGUGUUCUGUAAACACUGAACACCAUGCUGUUAACCAAGGUUACGUUAAAAAGUGACUAUGUGGCCAGGAAAUAGAUUUUGUAUAGUUAUGUGCUGUUAGGAUAGAUACGGGUUUUCGUCUGCGGCUCCUGGCUUAUAACUCCCAUAGCACUUGUUCCCAUUUGCGUUAGAAUGUUGGGGGUGUUGAGCCUCAUGGGCAGCCUCUGCCUUCUCCUGCCCUCCUUUCACCUGCCCCAAGGCGGCACCCUAACUUUCUCCUGCCUUUCGGAUUGUGGGUCUUAAGACCCUCCCAUGAGAGGGUCCCAUCCUAUGCCAUGGGGGAAGGAAUGCUGACAUCAUGAAGCUUCCAUAAAAUCCCAAGAGGACUCGGUUCAGUGCGGUUCCUGGAGUGUGGCGCGCCCAGCAAGGAUGUGGGAGCUCUGCGUCCCUUCCUCCCACUUCGGUCUACGCAUCUCUUCAUCUGCAAUAUUCUUUUUCAUUAAUCUAUAAAUGUGUUUGCCUGAGCUCUGCGAGCUGCUCCAGCAAAUUAAUAGAAUUGGAAAGAGGGGGUCAUGGGAAUGCCAACCUGAAGGCGGCCAGUCAGAAGUUCCAGGGGCCCAGACUUGCGGCUGGUGUGUGUAGGGGCAGCCUUGGCGGGGGAGCAUCACAGAAGUCUUCUCCUGUGUUGAUGAUUAUUGAGGUGUGAGAGUAGAGGAGAAACACAGUUCAGGUGAGAGGCUUCCCUGCACAAGUUACCAACCAUAUGACCUGGCACAACUUUCCCAACCUGUGCCCCUUCCUCGCCUACUGGGGGGUAAUGAGAUCAAUGCCGUAGCCUGAGCAAGAGCCCAGAACGGGGCUGGGUGGGUGGGCAAACCUCGAGAAACGUGAGCUCGUAUGUGAGGCAUAUGACAGGCCGAACAGUGUGCCAUGUCCGUGGUGCCAUGCCCCAGCGUGGCUUUGAGCGCAGUGACUCUCUUAGAUUUCUGAUUGUAAAGGCCCUGUGUGCUGGGUAAAGAGUUUGGAGAAAUGCAGAAAAUUUAAAGAACAUGAAGAACUGCCCAGAAAUAACAACUGUGAACGUUUUGGAGGCCUCUCGUCCUUUCCUGUGUACCUCGUGGCACAGCUACACUGUGCCCUGCCUGGGGUCCCAGAACAUGACAGCAUCCACUGCCACCCUGACUCAUGCCUGUCCUCAGCUGGGCUCCUGCGCCAACCACAACCCCACUCCCCCCUGAAUGACAGCCAGUCUGUCAGGAUAUUCCUCCUCCGCUCAGGGCAGCCCCACUGCCGAGUCCCCAGCAUGCAUUGACUUGGGUACUCCCUACCUUGAGUCAACCAUUAGGCCCAUCACGCUGAUGCAGAGCAGGGAGCCCCAAAGUGGGGCUGGGCCCCCAAGGAUUCUUUACUUCACCCAGGAGAGACUUCAAGGGCAAGCCCCUGGUGGGGUGGGGCUUUAUUGACGAGGCAGUGUUGCAGCUCCGUGACUGUCCCUACAGAGCAGGACUACCCCACAGGCAGUGCGCUGAGAGGAGCAGCUCAGAGCAGUUGUGCAGUCACAUCUAUAUCUACUUUUAAUUACAAGCAGAUUAAGGGGUGGUUUAUGCAGAAAUUUCUAGAUCCUGGGGUUAUUGCCAUGGAAAGAGGAGGUAACGCCCAGGUGUUGCCAUGGCAGCGGUCAACUCACACUGGUGGGCGUGUCUUAUGGAAAGGUGCUUCCACCCCAUCCCUGUUAUAGCUGGUCCUCAAUUUGGUCCAGCAUCUGAGCCCCGCCUCUGGAGUAGAGUGCCACCUCUCCACUGCAAUGUGGGUGGGGACAGAUCCCCUGGGGCACCUAGCUGAAAGUCACAUCCUGCCGGAAGAGCUAAGACCACACCUGUCUGUCUGAUUUCUGAAGCUGGGCUCUCAUCCCUUGGAUCUCUGGCUCCCUUCUUGUCCUAGAGGCGAAGGGGAAGAGCUAAAUAUUUCGUGACCUUUAGGCCAUACUUGUAGAGGGGUGUGCAGGCGGGAGGAACUGAGGCCAGGUUCCGACUCUGGCUGGAGGCCUACCCAGGCCCCUGAGGUUUCUCCAGGGUCAACCCCAUGGCCCACUGGCAGCUGAGUCACACAGAGUGAUUGCUGGUCAUGCCCUUGAUUGAGAACGAUGCACUCAGAGCGUCCUCCGCUCAUAAAUAGCAGGAAGCAAAGUACAUUACGAGAGCAUAUGGUACCUCUAGGCCAUUUCUGCCUCUGGCCCCGUCACUGCCACAGUGGCUGAAACUCAUCUUCUGUUCUGACAGGUUUCCCUAGAAACCCAUCAAUUUAUAGUGUCUAUAGCUGGCCUUUUGGAGGCCCCAGACCAAACUGUGUUAGAAAACAACAGCAACAACAAAACUCCUAUUUCUCCAAAUGGCCCUGGAAGAUGCACCGGCUGUGCCCUCAAGACGCUGUGUGUGGGGCAUCCGCCUCCCUGGGCGCGUGGAGCUGGCUGAUGGCCAGGGUGUAAGGGUGCAUACUGGGCAAGGACGGGCUGAGGCAGUUGGCAAGGUCUGCAUCACCUCCACCCAUCCGUGGUCCCUGGUCAUGAAGGAUACGCCCAUCCAUCCACCUUUCUGAAACUGUUGUCAACGCACUCUGAAUUCAGGAAUGCUCUCCUCUCUCUUCCUUCUCCCCUUGGCAGACUCAGGGCGGAAAUGGUAGCUGACGUUUUCCCCAAGAGCGAGGACAAGGAAUGACCAAAAGAUCAUCAUCCCAGGGGCUUUGGGAAUGUGGGCCCUGCUGCAUUUCCUUCAGCAGAAGGGUUUCUUUCCUUCAGUUUCCAUCAGCUUUCAGGGAGGACAAAGGUCCCUUUUGCUAACUGAUCUCUGUCUCACCCUCUGCAAACCCAUCCUAUAGGCUGCAGUCAUGGCCCCACUUGGGAGUCCGCCUCCUUUCUCUCACUCCUGACUUCCCAAAACUCUGGCUGGUUGUGUGCUCCAGGGAACUUUCUAGGGUGAUGGCAAUAUGCCAUAAUUUGGAGUUUUAGGGUGGUAGUUACGUGGGUGCCUACAAUUGUUAAAAUUUACUAAAUUAAGAUCUGUGCAUCAUAUUGUGUUAAAUUGUAUCUCAAACAGAAAAGGACGAGAGUGCACCUUGUGGAGGGCAAAUCUGUGCCGCACCCCCCAGCCCCGCCGGUGCUCUGGGGUUGGCCUCAGCUCAUGCCCUGCAAGUCCUCGCCUGCAGACGCAGCUUGCUUUGCUCAGCACGCUCAUGCGUGUAUGCCACGGGUCAGUUGAGAUCUGGACCAUGGGUAGGUACAGAAUCUUUCUUGGUUAUUGUGAUGGUUUUAACAGCUUUGUUGAGCUGUAAUCUGCCUACUAUCGAAUUUCCCCAUUUAAAAUACACAACUCAAUGCUUUUUAGUAACUGUCUCCACGAGCUGUGCAACCAUCAGCACAGUCUAAUGUGAGAACAUUUUCAUUGUCCCUUCCCAAAGAAGGCCUGUAUUAAUUAGCAGUCAUUCCCCGAUCCCUCACCUCCUCUAGGUCUUACCUGACCCCAGGCCAGCACCAAUCUCCUGUCUGUCUCUAUGAAUUUGCUGAUUCUGGACAUUUUGUAUAAAUGGAAUCAGACAACGGAUGCUCUUAGUGACUGGCUUCUCCACUUGGCAGAAUGUGUUCAAGCCUCUUCCAUGUUGCAGCACACAAUUGUACUUCAUCCUUUUUUGUUGCUGCAUAAUACUCCAUGGUUGCUGAAUACUAUUCCAUGGUAUUACUUGUCAGUUGGUAGACAUUUGGGUUGUUUCUACUUUUUGGCUGUUAAGAUCUAAUGCUGCUAUGAAAUUCAUGUACAAGUUUUUAUGUGAACAUGUUUCCAGUUUUUGUGAGCAUAUACCUAGGGGUGCAAUUGCUGGGUCAUAUGGUAACUGAAUAAUUAAUCUUUUGAUGAACUGCCAGGCUGUUUUCAAAUCAACUGCAUGAUUUUACAUCCCACCAGCAGCAUAUGAAAGUUCCAAUUUCUCUACAUCCUUGCCAACACUUGUUAUUAUCUGUCUUCAUGACUACAGCCAUGCUAAUGGAUGUGAAGUGGUAUCUUACUGUGAUUUUGAUUUGCAUUUCCCUGAUGGCUAAUGCAGCUGAGCAUCUUUUCAUGUGCUUAUUGGCCAGUUGUGUAUCUUCUUUGGAGAAAUGUCUAUUCAAGUCUUUUGCCCCUUUUUAAAAAAUUGAGUUCUCUGUCUUUUAAUUAUUGCAUAGUGAGUUCCUUAUUAUUAUUAUUAUUAUUAUUAUUAUUCUUUUAUUUUAUUUUUAUGAGAUGGAGUCUCACUCUGUCACCAGGCUGGAGUGCAAUGGCUUGAUCUUGGCUCACUGCAACCUCCACCUCCCAGGUUCAAGCAAUUCUCCUGCCUCAGCCUCCCAAAUAGCUGGGACUGCAGGUGCACACCACCAUGCCCAGCUAAUUUUUGUAUUUUUAGUAGAGACAGGGUUUCACCAUGUUGGCCAGAAUGGUCUCAAUCUUGUCAAGAUCAGGAUCAGGUGAUCCUCCUGCCUCGGCCUCCCAAAGUGCUGGGAUUACAGGCAUGAGCCACUGUGCCCAGCUGUGAGUUCUUUAUUCUAGAUACAAGUCACUUAUCAGAUGGAUGAUAUAUAACGAUUUUCUCCCAUUUUGUCAGUUGUCUUUUUAAUUUAUUGUGUCUUGAAGCACAAAAGCUUUUAAUUUUAAUGAAGUCUAAUUCAUCUGUCUUUUCUUUUGUUCCUUGAGCUUUUGAUUUCAUAUCUAAGAAGCUGUUGAGUAACACAAGGUCACAAAGAUUUAUGCCUGUUUUUUUCUAAGAGCUUUUAUAGUUUUAGCUCUUACAUUUAAAUCUUUGAUCCAUGUUUUUUUUUUUUUUUUUUUUUUUUUUUUUUUUUUUUUGAGACAGAGUCUUACUCUGUCACCCAGGCUGGAGUGCAGUGGCAUGAUCUUGGUUCACUGCAACCUUCACCUCCCUGGUUCAAAAGAUUCUCCUGCCUCAGACUCCCAAGUAGCUGGGACUACAGGCACAUGCCACCAUGCCCAGAUAAGUUUUGAAUUUUUACUAGAGACAGAGUUUCGGCAUGUUGGCCAGGCUGAUCUUGAACUCCUGACCUUAGGUGAUCUGCCCCCCUUGGCCUCCCAAAGUGCUGGGAUUAUAGGCAUGAGCCACUGUGCCUGGCCUAAUCUUUGAUUCAUUUGAAUUAGUUUUUUAUAUGUGGAUAAUUUUUGAAUAUGCAUAUGGAUAUUCUGUUAUUCCAACGCCAUUUGUUGAAAAGGCUAUUUUUCCCUAUUGAAUGGUCUUGGCACCCUUAUCAAAAAUCAAUAGGCCAUAGAUGUGAGGGUUUAUUGGUUUAUUUCUGGACUCUCAGUUCUAUUCCAUUGAUCCAUAUGUCUAUUCUUAUGCCAAUAAACACUAUCUUUAUUGUUGCCUUAUAGUGGGUUUUGAAAUCAGGAAGUCUGAGUCCUUCAACUUUGUUCUAUUCAAGAAUAUUUUGGCUGCUCUGGAUCUCUUGAGUUUCUGUACUAAUUUUAUGAUCAGCUUCUUUAUUUCUACCAAAAAAGUCAGGCAGAAUUUCGAUAGGGAUUACACCAAAUCUGUAGGUAAAUGUGGGGGCGUACCACCAUCUUAACAACAGCAAGUCAUGCCCUUCAAGAAUGUGGGAUAUCUUUGUGUUUAUCUAGGUCUUUAAACAUUUCUGUUAACAACCUUUUGUAGCUUUCAGUGUGCAAGCCUUGGGCUUCUUUUGUUAAAUUUAUCCCUAGGUAUAUAUGCAAUUAUAAGUGGAAAUUUCUUUAAAUUUCAUUUUUGGCUUUUUCAUCACAAGUGUGUAGAAAUAAAAUUGAUUUUUGUAUAUUAAUCUUAUAUCCUGCCACAUUGCCGAACUUGUUUAUUUGUUCUAAGAGUAUUUUUCAUGGAUUUCUUAGGAAGAUCAUUUCAUUUGCAAAUUGAGAUUGUUUUUCCUUUCCUAUGUGGAUAUCUUUUCUUUUUCCUGACUAGGUUUUGCUAGAACCCUAUUGUUGAAUAGAAGUGGGGAGAAGGGACAUCCUCGUCAUGUUUCUGAUCAGAGGUAGAAAGCUUUUUCAGUCCUUCUGAAUUAAGUAUGAAGUUAGCUGUGGGCAUCACGAGCACUCUGAGUAUUUUUAGACGGUGCCAAAGCAAAGCCCUCCUCCGUUCUCAGCAGACCCGUGAACAGCCAUGAACCCCAGUGUCCUUUGCUUUCUCUUGUUCCUUCAUGCUCGCCUUCCACCCUCCUCUGUGCUGACCCCUCCAGGCUGCAAAUAAAACCCACCAGCUGCUUCCUAUGCUACUGUCAAUGCAUCAGCUAAAGUUGGAAUCUCAGCACCAAACCCGAGCCCUUUGUGCCUAAGGCCCCGUGGCACAAUAACCUCCAACACAGUCGUUAGGGUGAGACCUUAGGAGUGAACAACCCCUAUGCAAAUGCCCAAAAAUGUAUUCAGAUGUCACCUAUGUUUGUACCUGUAGCUGUCACAAAUCGUUUAGAAGUGUGCCAUUGGGUGGACGGCUGGAUGGAUGAAGAUAGGGGACGAUUUCUGAUUUAACAACCACCAAGUGUCAGGAGAGAGAAACACAGUCUGCGAGUAGCACUGACUCUGGCAGAGAUUUUAUAACAAUUCAUGCAAAGAUUAUUUAUUCAAUAAAUAUUUAUUGAGCUCCUAUUAUGCACUUGGCACUGGGGAAAAACAAUGAAGAAGACAUAGAAAUCCUGUCCUCUGGCACCUAAGCCUGGUGGGUUCAGGGAGAUGCAUUUGGUUGCCCUGCCAGGGCCUGGGCUUGAGGAGGCCAAGCCAUCUCUCCUAGUCAUCUGAGCCAGAACUUGGCAAACUUCUCCCCAGCUGAGUGAGUGUGUCCAGAAGACUUGCAUUACCAGGGACCCCACCAUGCAGCCAUGGCUUAGAGUGCCCUGGAGUCUGAGUUCAGGUCCCGCAGUUCAGAGCAGAGGGAAGGCAGCUGGCAGAGUAAGGAAGUAAGGAGAAUCCAUGCUCACCCUUGUCUCCCACUAUGUGACCUUGGGCCUGGGGCUGGCAUGGCAGGUGCUACAGCCAGACAAUAGAGGCUCCAAACCCAAGUUUCUGUCACUGUGGGAGCUACCAUGUCAGAGGAAGGUGAUGAUUAAUGCACAAAUAUGUAUUUUCUCCAUCAGUCUGGUCUUUAACCAGUCUCUAGAUUCAUAAUACCCUAUCCAGGACAGGGUUUUCAGAUGGAGCAUCAAUAAUGCAGGUGCACACACAAAUUAUGAAUGAGUUUGAUCCUGGAGCAGUGAUAAGUGAGACUUUCUUGGAAGGCAGGGCUCAGCUGACAGCUGUGGGCCCUGCAGUGACUCCUAUCUACACUCUGGAGGGCUCCGGAAACCUCUAGCUCUGCGCCCCCUCCUCUGAUGCAGUCCACAUUGCAGAAUGGCAGGCUCUCCUGUCCCUCUGGCUCAGCUUGUCCCAGCUUGGCCAGUCAGCCAGGGGCUACCGGGUGCUUCUGUGCCAUGGUAGCAUCUCUCCUCCCCUUGGCCUUUGCUGUGGAAGGAGCUACCUGGAGGAGAUUGUGGCCUGGGCCAGGGACAUCUGUGCCAUCACCCUGGCAGGAGGUGAGGAGGCAGUAAAAGGGCAGCCCAGACUGGCAAGAGAGGGGCUGCCCACUUCGGGGGCAUCACACCUACAGGAGGCAUGUCCUCCAGCACGUGGUCUUCACGCUGCCCCCCGACUUGGACCUCCUUUUAAACUGUACCACACUGGGAAGUCCUUCACCACGGUGGGGCUCACCCUCACCACUGGUCCAUGGCAAGGUGGAAUAAUACUUCCUGAGCUCCUUUUCCCCUCCAACAACUUCAGAGAAUGAACAAGAAAGAGUCUAGAAGAUGCAGCUGGAGGUGCCAUUUUUCCUGGCAUGGUGUUAAAAAUUUUAAAUGGGGCUGCAGUAGCCUUUCCAUCUGUGUGUGUCUCUAGCUGUGUGUUUAUCUGUUCACGUGUGUUGUGUGUAUGUGUGUGUCUCUGUGCACGUGUGUCUCUGGGUUUCUAGGUAUGUAUGUCCAUGUGUAUUCACGUGUGUGCAUGUGUUUCUGUGUAUUUGUGUGCAUAUGUAUGUGUCGAUGUGUGUGUGUAUGUGUGUGUCUCUGUGCACGUGUGUCUCUGGGUUUCUAGGUAUGUAUGUCCAUGUGUAUUCAUGUGUGUGCAUGUGUUUCUGUGUAUUUGUGUGCAUAUGUAUGUGUCGAUGUGUGUGUGUAUGUGUGUGUCUAUGUCCCUGUGUGUGUCUGUGUCUAUUUCUGUGUAUGUGUCUGUGUGUGUAUCUGUGUCUGCAUCUCUUUGUGUGUGUGUAUCUCUCUGUAUGUGUCUGUGUAUAUCUGUGUGUGUAUCUCUGUGUGUAUUUCGGUGUCCGUGUGCAUGUGUGUCUGUGUGUGUUUCUGUGUGUGUCUGCAUGUGUAUCUCUGUUUGUAUGUGUAUUUCUGCGUGUCUGUGUGUAUCUCUGUGUGUAUUUGUGUGUAUUUCUGUGUGUCUGUGUGCAUGUGUGUCUGUGUGUCUUUCUGUGUGUGUCUGUGUCAUGUUUGUGUGCAUUUGUGUCUGUGUGUAUUUCUGUGUGUGUUUGUGUCUGUGUGAAUGUGUGUCUGUGUGCAUUUGUGUCUGUGUGCAUUUGUGUCUGUGUGUAUUUCUGUGUGUCUGUGUGCAUUUAUGUCUGCGUGUAUUACUGUGUGUGUCUGUGUCUAUGUCAUGUUUGUGUGCAUUUGUGUCUGUAUUUCUCUGUGUGUUUGUGUCUGUGUCAUGUGUGUCUGUGUGCAUUUGUGUCUGUGUGUAUUUCUGUGUGUGUCUGUGUGUGUUUGUGCAUGUGCACACAUGGGUGCUCCAGCCACCGAGCCCAGCCCUCGGGGCACAGAACCCUCUGGGCACAGGGGCUUGGUCUCUGCUUCCGAAACGGCACCGCCAAUGUCUGUGAGUUUCGUGGGUGUCCCUGUGUGAUCCCCUCACUGGAAAGUCUGGCUGGCUACAGACAUUGCUGCUAUUCUCCUGGCAACUGCUGCAAACCACAAAGAGCUUCUUUCUUAUCCUUUGGGAGCAGGGGAACAAGGCUUCACUAUAAGGGGAUUAGGUUUGUAUUAGGCUUUGAUCAGAGAGGCAGAACCACCAGGAAAUGUGGCUGAGGGAUUUAUUGUAGGAUUUGCCCAUGUUUGAUAAGUCAAAGAAGGCUCUUGCUUCUGUGCCUGGUGUGGCAGCCUAGGGUCAGAAGAGCAGGUGGUGGGGCAGGAGAGCUGCAUGUCAGGUUGGGCAGCAGGAGCGCCCUGGAAACUGCCGGGUCGGAUGUCCUCUGCAAGGCAGUCUCCCUGUUGCUGUCCCCAGCUUUAAUUCUGGGAUCCCACAGGAGAAGAUGGGGCCCUUCAUCAGGUGCUAAAUGUCACACCUGUCCUGGGAGUUAAAGAACUCAUGGAAGACUAUGGCAGGAACAGGGCUGCUGUGGGUCCCCUGCUGCACACUGGCAAGGUGCCUGCCCACAGGUGACAGCAUGCAGGGCUGCAACAGCUCCAACCUUCUGGGCACAAAAAGAACAUGGCCACUGCUUCCCGCCUUCCCAAUUCUGCACCAUGCCUCUUGGGGCCAAACUGACCAGGGGCUAUGUAGGAAAGGGCAUUCUGGGCAGUACAGUUCUGCUUGGGUGGGCUGAUGCAAUAGAAACCCACCACGGUCUGCCCCUUGUCAACCUGGCACCAUAUAUGACUCACUUAGACACACUUAAUGCCUGAAUAAAGACAACAGCAAAAUCCUUGCUUAUGCCUAGCAUGAAGCAUGAUCCUCUGAACAACUGAAAACACACUCUGCCCAGAAGAGGAUACAAAACCCCUUCCUCCACCCCUGGGUGACAUCUCUUCCUCCUACAGCUAAGUCUCACACCCUUUCUGAUAUCCUGUGGCCUAAACGCCAAGUAUAUUUGUUAUCUAUUGCUCUAUAAAAAAUCACCCCAAAAUCCAGAGGCCUAAAACAAUAAAUGUGCAUGAUCUCACCUCUUCUGUGGACAAGAGUCUGGGCAUCGCUAAACUGGCUGCCUGUGGCUCACAGUUCCUCGCUAGGCCUCAGUGAAGCUUCCAGCCAAGGCAGUGAUCUCAUCUGAAGACUGGACUGGGAUGGUAUCAUCUUCCACGCUUGCGUGCAUGGCUGUUGGUUUGUGUCAGCAGCUUUCUGCCAUGCAGGCCACUCUGUGGGGCUACUCAUGAUGUGGCAGCCUGCUUCUUUCAGAAAAAGAGCUGCAAAAGAGAGAGAAAGCAAGAUACUGCAUGCAAGAUGGAAGUCAUGGUCUUUUUGUGACUUAACCUCUAAUCUUGGAAGUGAUAACCCUUCGCUUUUGUUGUAUUCUGUCCAUUCUUUGGAUUGAGGUACUAUGUCCAGCCCACAUUCCAGGGGAGGGGAUUACACAGGGCCAUAGAUACAGAGAGGAGGGGUCAUGGGCCCAUCUUAGAGGCCGCCCAGCCUGCUGAGAGAGAAGGUCACUACUAUCAAUGCAACGUAUGUUGGAUGCAGAGAAAUGGAAGAGGGAGGAGAAGUGUGGUUCACAUCUACUGACAGAUUCACAGCUAAAUACGGAAUAAGAACUUGUGACUGUUACACCUCAUGUCUCUACCUGGUCAUGCGGCCAUAGCUGUCCCAUAACUACCCUCCCUCGUGACUGUCCAUAGUCCCUGUGCCCUAGCAAGGCCCUCGGAGGGUCGUGCUUCCUUGUUUGGUGGGGUGACCCAAAUCUUCAUUCCCAAAGGAUCUGAACGUCUGAAACCUGCUACCAUUUUGGGUCAUUGUUGACCAUUUCAAUGUGGUUCAUAAUCAUCCUGGAGAGAAGGCAGGUGCCUCGGGGCCCAGGUAGUGGGACUUCAGGAGCCUGUGUGCUGCCCUGGGGCCUCUGGGUAGAGUGUGGCCUGGCCUCAGGUGCCCUGGGGGGUCUUGGAGUUGGGUCAGUAGAGGGUCUGAGUCACAGCCACCCCGUCCUUCUGGCCCAUCCUCCCAAGACCAUCUCUGGAAGGUUUUCCCCUGGUGGGUGUCAGAUGGGACAUCCCUGAGGAAGACCUGGCUCCAGGUGGAGGCGCCCCACGCCACCUUGGUUGUGGCGGCUGCCAGUCCUGGCCACAGCCCCAACCCCUAUGAGGCACCAGCAUCCUCUUUGGUAUCCACAGAGGUGGCAGGAAUCUGUCCAUCCACACCUUCAUCCACUCAUUAAGCAAAUGCGCGCUGGGGCUGACUUCUCAAACUGUGAAAAAGCCACGUGGGGCUCUGCCGUGGUGGGGCUGCCACCCCAGGGGACAGGACAACCCACCCUUGAACACAUACUAUGUGGGUCCAUUUCAAAUUGCAACCAAGGCCCUGGACAAAACAAAGCGAGGUGGCUCCAGAGCAUCACUGCCAGGAGGGGCCUCCUUCGAUGGGGGCAGCAAGGUGCUCUCCAAGGACCCAUGGAUGGGCCUGAAGGAAGAGGUCUCAGGAAUAAGCAAGCCACAGACACACCCUGCAGGCAGGAGGAGGACGGCAUGAAGGCUGCAGGUGCAGGGCUCUGUGCUCAGCUGGAUGGGGCUGAGGGAGGAGACCCAUUCAGAUGCUGGGGCCUGCUGGGUCGAAGGCCAGUCAGCUCCUCUUGCUCUCAGCCAGGCCAACCCUUGAGGGUCUCAGACUUCACUGUUCACCACUCCGCUACACACAGGUAGCCUGUGAAAGUCACUUCUCUAGAUCCCCAGGGACGUACAUCCCGCAACGCUAGCUUGGGCGGGACCUGAGUGCCAGCUGGGUGGCCAGAGGUGGGCGAAUUUAAGGCAGAUGGCAAAGCCAUUCCCACCCCAGGGCCACUGGUCGGCACAGCUGGGCACAGCCCACCACCUGCCAGACCUUUCAGAGGGAAUGCAUCUCCCUCCAAGCCAGGUCCCAGCUGGGAUCUUCCAGCUGAAGAGGUUUCCUUGGGCAGAAGCGAGAAGCGAAUUGGAAGAAAGAGGCCCUGACCCUCCAGGAGGCUCCAUUCUGCCUGUGGCCCUGAAAAAAGAGAGCAGGAAGGAGCAACUCUCACUUCUUCACAGCGACUUUGAGAAGUGGAAGACAGGGGCCGCUCCCCGGCUACAAACAAGAAGCCGAUGGAAACCAACACCGUCCCCUCCAGCCUCAUCUCCUCGCUCUUCAGAGUUUGCAGGGAGAUGCAUCACGAAGGCCCAUGAAGCUGUAAAGAUUAGUAUUCCAACCCGGGCAGCAGGGUUUUAAUUAGUCAUUAGGCCCUUUCUGCAGAGCCAUGCUGAACAGGCAAGGGCAGGGUGACCUUUCUCCGCCCAGCACUGUGGCAGCCUGUCUGCUUUGCAGGUGCACUUGGGACUCUGUCAAAACCGCUAAGAGGAGAGGACUGAGGCUGGGCCGGGAAGGAGGCCCUAGCCUCUCUGUUCCUGGGCAUGGCCCCCACCACGGGGGCACUGCAGACCUUUGCUCCCAUCUGGCUCUAGCUCACAGCUUGCACCCCUCAUCCACAAGGGACACAGACAGUUGCUCACGUGAUGGCUCUCCUAGCGAGCCCACGGGCAACGCCAGGAACAAGCCACCCAGGAGUUGAAGCACUUCCCUGGUGUGUGUGAUGGGAGAGGGGAGGGAGCCGGCUUCCUGCAGCCAGUCCCCGCCGGAUUCCAGGAAGGCGAGCGAACCCCUGCGGAAGGUCGGUUCUCAGCCAGGCAUCUGGGACCCCCCUGCCAAGUUGCCCCUUCUUGGCCAAAUGUCACCACAUACCAUAAAAUCACAGAGAACCUUCCAGCUUGCCUGCCUUAGAAGCCAACCCUCCCAACCUCCUGGUUUCUCGAGGACAGUGAGGCCAAGAGCAGCUGCAACCAGGGGCGUGCAGAGGCCGGUGGCUGAGCUGGGGCCAGGACCCUGGACUAUGGCUGUCUAUUUACAACCCAAAAUAAAACGCUAAUUGCCACCAGCACCUGCUGACAAAGAUUUCAAAUCAGUGUCCUCACGAGGACUUCUCCUGGGGCUUCCUGCCAAGCUCAUGAUGUGCUUCUAUCCAGUGGGUCAGCAGGCCCCGGUGUCUGAGGGCACAGCAUUUCUUUCUGCCACUGCUCCGGAUUAUCUGCCCCAGUCUGGCCCCUCGGCUCCUGCCUCACCCACAGUGCCCCCAGGCCUCCCUCCCGUGGGCUGUUCGGCUCCUGUCUCCCACCUUCUCUCCACCUUGGCAGCCGUCCAUGGCCACAGGCUUGCACCCGGGUCUUGCACUGAACGUCAACUCAGGUGCGAGGCUUUCCUUCCCAGCUUCACUGCAAACACUGCAGGCAGGCCUUGGGGUCAUCUGGCUCAGCACACCACAGGGACCCCACUAGCUCUUAUCCGCUGUAUGGGGGUCCCAUAGCCAUGGGCUGGGCACUUCAUAGGAAAUGGACGUCUGUGACCUCCAAGGGGUUACAGACACACCCUCCGAGGGGAGGUGACAGAAUGGCUGGAAGUCGCCACCACGAUCACAGCCCGGAGCCACUGUGGGGACCUUGGUGCGUGUGCCCCGUUCGUGUUGUCACCAGUGCAGGUGCCCUGCACCUCCGCCUCUCAGGAGCAGCCACCCAGCUACAGUCUGAGCAAUUGCACAUCUGGCUCACUGCAGUUCCUUGUAUGACAGCAAGGACAAUGUAACAGGUUUCAUGCCUUCUUGUCUGUGCUGUUAGUUCCUGAUGCCAAGCCCUUCCCAGGAGGCUGAGGAUCAGGCGGACUCUCAGGCCAGCAGCAGCAAGGUAGGAAGUCCUCCUGCCCCAGAUGCCUCCAGCCUGCAGACUUCAUAAUAAAUGGGAGGUUGGCUUUCCCAGCCAAAGCCAUAAACUUUAAUUGGGCUUUUUAAAGACCACAAAAGCAAAUAUAUGCCCUUAAAGAAACCCUUUGGUAACUUGCUCAGAACAUAAAGGUGACUAUUAGCAUGUGCUGAUUUGAAAUACCAAGAAGAAAAUAUCUCCCACAUCAACAUAUGCUAGUGUAAGGCAUGUCCUGUUUUGCAUAGCUCUCACGGUUCCCCACCCUAACACUAGGGCCCGCCUGUCCUAGAGGGCAGCAUGCUUGAAAUCAGAAGACUGCAUUUGGCCUGGCUCCACAUGCCCCUUAACAUUGUUCUUUUUUGUUUUCUUUGAGACAGGGCCUGUCGCCCAGGCUGGAGUGCAGUGGUGUAAUCUUGGCUCACCACAACCUCCACCUCUCAGCAACCUCCGCCCCCCAGCAACCUCCACCUCCCGGCAAACUCCACCUCCUGGGUUCAAGCCAUUCUUGUGUCUCAGCCUCCCGAGUAGCUGGGAUUAUAGGCAUACGCCACCACACCCGGCUAGUUUUUGCAUUUUUAGUAGAGAGAGAGUUUUGCCAUGUUGGCCAGGCUGUUCUCGAACCCCUGACCUCAAGUGAGCCACCCACCUCGGCCUCCCUAAGUGCUGGGAUUACAGCCAUGAGUCACCGCGCCCGGCCGCUCCUUAACAUUGUUGAGCUCCCCUUUCCUCCUCUGCGUAAUUAGUAAGAUCUCUUCCACCUGCCUCAUGGGCUGACUGAGGGAACAACCCAGACAGGGAUGAUCAUGACGGUGCUGUUGGCUGACUGUGGGGCUCGACACUGUGCUCAUCACUUUAUGCAUCUGAGAUGGAAAUGGUCUCAGCCACAGGCACAGAUGGGGAACCCAAGGCAAAGAGAGGUUAAGUAACUUACCCUUGGUCAUGCAGACAGUGGCUGAGCCCGAAUUCAGCCCCAGUGUCUUUAACUCCAGGUGUGAGGGCAGCGGCUCCAGCACGCGAGGCCCCAGGAGCCAGGCACUGCUCACAGCACCAGGCGUGACCGCAGCGGCUCCAGCACGCGGGGCCCCGGGAGCCAGGCACUGCUCGCAGCGCGGGUCGCUCACGUGUUCUUUGGAGGCAAAUCCAUGCGGCGUUCACACACACGGACCUUGCAGUUGCUUGCGCCUUUUUUUCUCUCCAACUCAUCACAGGGCAUGACUUCUCUCCAAGCUGCCUGAAAUAAAAUGAAUAACUUUUUAUGUGAAGUUCUUCGUGCUGAAGAGAACUUGUUCCAAAUGGGGAAUAAUUGGCCUUCCAGGGCUCCAUACCGGCAAUGAAGUGAAAGAUGCUGACGUUUCAGAGGUGUGGAAAUAAAAGGACUAAAAAUGGGAUUCGGAGCAGCUAAUGAGGGCAGAUCCGCAGGGUUUGAGAGACAAAAUGGGGAUCGCAGGUGGAAGCUGGCACCGCGGCCAGGGGCAGCCCACGCAGCAGCGAGUGGGGCCGAGGUCGUGGGCGGGUGUCCGGACCCUCAUCACAGGAACUUGCUGGAACCCCCAGAGGCCCCGGCCUCUGCUGGCUUUGAGGCCUCAGACCUCCCUAGUCCAGUCACGAGCCACCGAGCCCCCUAUACGAGUCUGCUCAGCGGCUGUAUGAAGCAUGUUAUGUUUGACGAAGGAUUAAACACCAGAAAUGUAUUGUCCCCGGUUCUGGAGGCUGGAAGUCUGAGAUCAAGGGGCUGGCAGGGCUGGUUCCUUCUGAGACCCCUCUCCCUGGCCUGUGGGUGCCAUCUUCUCUCUCUGUGGGUGUCCAUGUCUUUACCACCCCUUCUCCUAAGGACACCAGUCCUAUUGGAUUAAGGUCCACCCUAAUGGCCCCAUUUUAACUUAGUUACCUCUCUGAAAAUCCUACCUCCAAAUACGAUCACAGACUCCAAGCUGCUGGGGUGAGGACUUCAACAUGUGAAUUUGGGGCGAGGGGCAGCUUGGUUCAGCUCCUAACAUGCAUGUCAGCCACGCUCUCACUCACUCAUCCUUGUUUUGAUUCGUUUACAUGGUGCAUGUCUCCGGUGCCUACUGUGUGCUAAGCUGGGCCAAGACAGAAGCUGCCUGCCAGGAGCCCAGUGCCCAGUGGAGGAGGAGGGAUGGAGCAACAGGGCAGUAGGACGGGGUGUGGCUGUGCCCCAGAUGGGGAGGAGUUAGCCCUGGCCCCAUGUGCAGUGCAGCCUCCGGGUGCCCACCGCUCUGGGACUACAGAGUAGCUCCUUGGACAGUCAUGUCUUCAGAACUGAGAGCUGAGAUGACCCAGUUGGCCCAUAUUAGGCAGUUUCCAGUCCAGGAAAGGAGGGGGUGGCAUCAAGACCUGAGCUCUGGGGAGCACAUUUUGGGGUCCACAUUCUUGCUUUGCUUGUGGAAUGCCUGCAGGAGCUGGAGGCCACGCCACAGAGCCCUUGGGAGGAGAAACGGCCACGUGUGGAGGGCAGUCUGAUGGCAGGUAUCCACGCUGAAGAUACAUGUGUCCUUUGAACCAGCCCCCAGUUCCCUGGGAGAAUGUCUCAGAUCCCUAGGCAAAGGCACAAAGAUCUGGUGUGUUUACUGCUGUAAGAGACAGCCCCAAACCUCGGCAGUUUCUCCCAACAUAGAAACCCACAGAGCGAUGCUGUGAUCCAGGUCCUGCCUGCUCCAUGGUACCACCCUUCUCUGGUUCAGCAGACAGAGAGGGAGAGAGCGUGAGGACCACACAUGAGGGGUUUUAUGGCUGACCAGAAGCAGAACACAGCACUUCCUCUCACCUCCCAUUGACCAGACUCCAGUACACACAGGACCGCCUGAGAAACAUGUGCACCGGGGGAAGAGAGCGUGGUUGGAACACCAGCCAUCUCUCAUGCAAUAUUUAUCUAAAUUCUAAAAUAAUUGAGCAUUGAAUCCAACUGGAACUCCCU
rnacentral:lncRNA from 1 species